rnacentral:rRNA from 1 species
AUUGAGGGUUUUAUUUAGUUUAUUUUGUAUUUAGUUUUUUGUUAAAGUAUUAUUUUGUUUAUUAUUUUAUAGAAAUACUUUUUUUUAUUAUAGUUGAUUGUACUGUAAGGGAAAUUUUAAGAAUUUGUAGAAGGAGGUUUAUUUUGUACCUUGUGUAUCAGGGUAAAUUAAUUAUCAGGGGUUAUUUCUUUUUCUCGAAUUAGUAAGAGUUAAAUUUAUAUUUUUGUCAUGUAGAAAAAUGAUUAUUAAUAUAGAUUUAGAAAUGAAACGUUAUUCGUUUAUUAAUAUAUCUGGUUGUUUAAGAAAGGAAUUGAAUUUCAUUGUUUAUUUUAAUUUGAUUUAAUUUUUAUUUAUUUUGUGUAGACACUUAAACAUGGCUAGGGAUAAGCUUGGUUAUGGAUCCUUACAAGGUAGUUUUUAUUGUUAAUUUUAUUUAGUAUUAGAAUUUUACAUAUUCAAUAUGUUAUAAUUGGUUAUUAAAAUUUAUGAUUUUUUAUACUUUAUGUUUUUUAUUAAACUGAAUUUUAGAAUUUUAUUUAAUUUGUAAUAAUGAUUUAAUUAGUAGAAUGAUCUGUGUUAAUUAAUAUUGAUUGUUAGAUUAGUUUAAGGAACUCGGCAAAUUUAUUUUUCACCUGUUUAUUAAAAACAUGUCCUUUUGUUAAGAAUAUAAGGUCUGGCCUGCCCACUGAUUUUUGAAUGGCUGCAGUAUUUUGACUGUACAAAGGUAGCAUAAUCAUUAGUUUUUUAAUUAAAAGCUGGAAUGAAUGGUUGGAUGAAAAAAUUACUGUCUUUGGUUGAAGUGUUGAAUUUAAUUUUUUAAUUAAAAAGUUUAAAUGUUUAUAAAAGACGAGAAGACCCUAUAGAGUUUAAUAUUUGAUAUUAUUAAUUUUUUGGGAUUUAUUAAUUUAAUUUUAUGAGAAUAUUUGGUUGGGGUGAUUAUUAAAUUAAAUUAACUUUUUUUAUUAAAUACAAUGAUUUUUGUUUAUUUGAUCCAUUAUUUUUGAUUAAAAGAUUAAAUUACCUUAGGGAUAACAGCGUAAUUUUUCUUUAGAGUUCUUAUCGAUAGAGGAGAUUGCGACCUCGAUGUUGGAUUAAAAUUAAUUUAUGGCGGAGAAGCUAUGAAAUUAGGUCUGUUCGACCUUUAAAAUUUUACAUGAUCUGAGUUUAAACCGGUGUGAGCCAGGUUGGUUUCUAUCUUUAUAAUAAUAAUUUAUUUUAGUACGAAAGGACCAAAUAAGUAAUUAAUAAUUUGUUGUUUGAAUAAUAGU